GACGAACGCUGGCGGCGUGCCUAAUACAUGCAAGUAGAACGCUGAAGGAGGAGCUUGCUUCUCUGGAUGAGUUGCGAACGGGUGAGUAACGCGUAGGUAACCUGCCUGGUAGCGGGGGAUAACUAUUGGAAACGAUAGCUAAUACCGCAUAAGAGUAGAUGUUGCAUGACAUUUGCUUAAAAGGUGCAAUUGCAUCACUACCAGAUGGACCUGCGUUGUAUUAGCUAGUUGGUGGGGUAACGGCUCACCAAGGCGACGAUACAUAGCCGACCUGAGAGGGGGAUCGGCCCCACUGGGACUGGGACACGGCCCAGACUCCUACGGGAGGCAGCAGUAGGGAAUCUUCGGCAAUGGACGGAAGUCUGACCGAGCAACGCCGCGUGAGUGAAGAAGGUUUUCGGAUCGUAAAGCUCUGUUGUAAGAGAAGAACGAGUGUGAGAGUGGAAAGUUCACACUGUGACGGUAUCUUACCAGAAAGGGACGGCUAACUACGUG
rnacentral:rRNA from 1 species